UUAGAUACCCUAUUAUUUUAAGCUAUAUAUUGGUAGUAAUUAAUAAUUUAUGAAAUCAUAAGAUUUUGGCGGUAUUUUAAGCUUAUUAGAGGAAUUUGCUCUGUAAUGGAUACAACGCCUUAAUCUUACUUAAUUUGGUUUUAAAGUCAGUUUGUAUACCACUAUAUUUAAUUAUAUUGAAUAAUUAUAUUUAAGAUUUUUUUUUUAUAAAAAAUAUAUUAAGUCAAGGUGCAAUUUAUAAUUAUGAAUGAAGUGAAUUACAUUAAUUUUAAUUUUACUUAAAUAUUGAAAAAAAAUUAUAGGAUUUAAUAGUAAAA
rnacentral:rRNA from 1 species